UAGAAACCAAGAUCAAGAGCUUGAUGUGCUUGUUGAUACUGGAGUGUCAUUGAUUCUUGGCCCUGUCAACUGACCAGAUCAAGGAACUACAUGUGUAUAAGCUAAGUUGUUCUUUGAUGAAGAGAAGAAAAUGUUCAAAGACUCUAUCUGGACAGCAGAGCAGUGCACAGCUGUGAUGUUUCUUUUUUCUCUGCCUUGACCUUACUCUGAA
rnacentral:lncRNA from 1 species